rnacentral:rRNA from 1 species
GCCGUUCUUAGUUCGUGGAGUGAUCUGUCUGCUUAAUUGCGUUUCAAAUUUUAUAUUUGUUAACAUGCGAGUCUUCAAUGACGGCCGCUCCACCUUAUAGACAUUAUAUGAUAUGCACAUUUGUGUAUUUGAUUAUAACUUGUCUGGAGUCUGGCUCGAUUUUUUUGACUCAAUUGAACGCAACGGACGUGAUUGCAAGUCCUUGUUGAACAAAUUAUAUAUAUACUACUUCAUCAUUAGUAUAUAUAGUUCGCUUCUCAUGUCGUAGCAGUCAAACGGGCGGGCGUCUUAAUUGGCGCGGUCACGAGGCUUAAUAUGCUGCGGCAGGGAAAACUUGGGCGACCGCUGUAAUACUUCUCUCUUAAACCAGAGGAAGAUUGCGGCAAUAACAGGUCUGUGAUGCCCUCAGAUGUCCCGGGCCGCA